UACGGGGGGGGCAAGCGUUGUUCGGAAUUACUGGGCGUAAAGGGCUCGUAGGCGGCCAACUAAGUCGGACGUGAAAUCCCCAGGCUCAACCUGGGAACUGCGUCCGAUACUGGAUGGCUUGAAUCCGGGAGAGGGAUGCAGAAUUCCAGGUGUAGCGGUGAAAUGCGUAGAUAUCUGGAGGAACACCGGUGGCGAAGGCGGCAUCCUGGACCGGUAUUGACGCUGAGGAGCGAAAGCCAGGGGAGCAAACGGG
rnacentral:rRNA from 1 species